GGUUAACGCUGGCUGUGUGCCUAACGCAUGCAAGUCGAAAGCAUUUAGUUGCUUGGCGAACGAGUGAGUAACACGUUGGAACCUACCCCAUGGUGGGGCAUAACUCUUCGAAAGAAGAGAUAAUUCCCCAUAGUCUCUACGGAGUAAAGAUUUAUCGCCAUGGGAGGGGCCUGCGUCCUAUCAGCUUGUUGGUGAGGUAAAAGCUCACCAAGGCAAUGACGGGUAGCUGGAUCGAGAGGUCGACCAGCCACGACGGAACUGCGACACGGUCCGUACUCCUACGGGAGGCAGCAGCGAGGAAUCUUCCGCAAUGGGCGAAAGCCUGACGGAGCGAUACAGCGUGCAGGAUGAAGGCCUUCGGGUCGUAAACUGCUUUUAUCUGGGACGAUUAUGACGGUACCAGAUGAAUAAGGACUUGCUAACUACGUGCCAGCAGCAGCGGUAAUACGUAGAGUCCGAGCGUUACCCGGAAUCACCGGGCGUAAAGCGUGUAUAGGU
rnacentral:rRNA from 1 species